CCUACGGGAGGCAGCAGUGGGGAAUCUUCCGCAAUGGGCGCAAGCCUGACGGAGCAACGCCGCGUGAGUGAAGAAGGUCUUCGGAUCGUAAAGCUCUGUUGACGGGGACGAACGUGCGGAGUGCGAACAGCGCUUUGUAAUGACGGUACCUGUCGAGGAAGCCACGGCUAACUACGUGCCAGCAGCCGCGGUAAUACGUAGGUGGCGAGCGUUGUCCGGAAUCAUUGGGCGUAAAGGGAGCGCAGGCGGGCCGGUAAGUCUUACUUAAAAGUGCGGGGCUCAACCCCGUGAUGGGAGAGAAACUAUCGGUCUUGAGUACAGGAGAGGAAAGCGGAAUUCCCAGUGUAGCGGUGAAAUGCGUAGAUAUUGGGAAGAACACCAGUGGCGAAGGCGGCUUUCUGGACUGCAACUGACGCUGAGGCUCGAAAGCCAGGGGAGCGAACGGGAUUAGAUACCCGUGUAGUC
rnacentral:rRNA from 1 species